GUGAGCCAGAGUGUCACAACGUCGACACUGUGUUGUCCUGAGAAGCUUACUCACAGACAGAAAUGUAGUUUGAAAAGCCUUUUAUGUUAGUAAUUCGUUAGACGUGCUCCAGCAGAAGCCAGGAGACCGCUUUAAGUGUCUGUUACACGUUAGAGAAAGCUGCACGUCACACGUCUCGGGAGAUUCAUCGACUUUAAACCUGUCUGAUCCUGGCUUGUAACAUCACUCUUCUCUCCUGUUUGAUGUCAGGGGCUUCACACGAUCAGGACUUUUGGGGCCAAUCACCAAUCACCGAUUAGUGCCUGAUUAAAUUUGUCAUGAUGAAAAAUUUUGCAGAUGUUCCCCCAUGACUCCAUCUCUGUCAUCAGGCAAAUCCAUCUGGGAAAGCUCCAGUCCACAACGUUUGUGCCAAACCGAACACUGUUCUGAUUAAUCAGAGUCAUUUUAGGAGAACGAAGCGGUAUCUAUGGGCGGGGUUU